CCCCCUUACCUCACCCAACAACACGUUUCUCAAAUUUCAUUUGUAAAAAUCCAGCCGAGGUUUGCAAAUAUACCCAGACACACUUGCCCCACAAAAAAGGAGGAAAAAAUUCAUGCAGAUGAAAAUGAUGUUCAAGAGUUCCUCAAUUUAGUCAAAUUAUUUAAAAGCAUUGACAGUUGCAAAUUAAAGAGGAAAAGUAUACCACAAGUACAAACAAAGACAAGAGUAAGCUUGUACAAAACGAUAACAGUGAUGCAUUUGAGGAUCGGAAUAUCUUUUAGCAUCAAGGUUAAUUUUAACAUGACAUUUCACAUGUUUAAGGGUUUCUUGCAGAUUACAUUUGUAACAGCUUAA